ACGAAGGGGGCUAGCGUUGCUCGGAAUUACUGGGCGUAAAGGGCGCGUAGGCGGAUAGCUAAGUCAGAGGUGAAAGCCCAGGGCUCAACCUUGGAAAUGCCUUUGAUACUGGCUGUCUUGAGUUCGGGAGAGGUGAGUGGAAUGCCGAGUGUAGAGGUGAAAUUCGUAGAUAUUCGGCGGAACACCAGUGGCGAAGGCGACUCACUGGCCCGAUACUGACGCUGAGGCGCGAAAGCGUGGGGAGCAAACAGGAUUAGAUACCCUGGUAGUCCACGCUGUAAACGAUGAGUGCUAGUUGUCGGCAGGCAUGCCUGUCGGUGACGCAGCUAACGCAUUAAGCACUCCGCCUGGGGAGUACGGUCGCAAGAUUA
rnacentral:rRNA from 1 species